rnacentral:rRNA from 1 species
GGGGAAUUUUCCGCAAUGGGCGAAAGCCUGACGGAGCAACGCCGCGUAAGGGAUGAAGGCCUCUGGGCUGUAAACCUCUUUUUUCAAGGAAGAAGAUCUGACGGUACUUGAAGAAUAAGCCACGGCUAAUUCCGUGCCAGCAGCCGCGGUAAUACGGGAGUGGCAAGCGUUAUCCGGAAUUAUUGGGCGUAAAGCGUCCGCAGGCGGCCUUGUAAGUCUGUUGUUAAAGCGUGGAGCUUAACUCCAUUUAAGCAGUGGAAACUGCAAGGCUUGAGUGUGGUAGGGGCAGAGGGAAUUCCCGGUGUAGCGGUGAAAUGCGUAGAUAUCGGGAAGAACACCAGUGGCGAAGGCGCUCUGCUGGGCCAUAACUGACGCUCAUGGACGAAAGCCAGGGGAGCGAAAGGGAUUAGAUACCCCUGUAGUCCUGGCCGUAAACGAUGAACACUAGGUGUCGGGGGAAUCGACCCCCUCGGUGUCGUAGCCAACGCGUUAAGUGUUCCGCCUGGGGAGUACGCACGCAAGUGUGAAACUCAAAGGAAUUGACGGGGGCCCGCACAAGCGGUGGAGUAUGUGGUUUAAUUCGAUGCAACGCGAAGAACCUUACCAGGGUUUGACAUCCUGCGAAUCCCUUGGAAACGAGGGAGUGCCUUCGGGAGCGCAGUGACAGGUGGUGCAUGGCUGUCGUCAGCUCGUGUCGUGAGAUGUUGGGUUAAGUCCCGCAACGAGCGCAACCCACGUCGUUAGUUGCCAGCAUUCAGUUGGGCACUCUAGCGAGACCGCCGGUGAUAAACCGGAGGAAGGUGUGGAUGACGUCAAGUCAUCAUGCCCCUUACAUCCUGGGCUACACACGUACUACAAUGCUACGGACAAAGGGCAGCAGACUCGCGAGAGCUAGCAAAUCCCAUAAACCGUGGCUCAGUUCAGAUCGUAGGCUGCAACUCGCCUACGUGAAGGAGGAAUCGCUAGUAAUUGCAGGUC